AUUGAACGCUGGCGGCAUGCCUAACACAUGCAAGUCGAACGGCAGCACAGCAGUAGCAAUACUGUGGGUGGCGAGUGGCGGACGGGUGAGGAAUACGUCGGAAUCUGCCCAGUCGUGGGGGAUAACUAGCCGAAAGGUUAGCUAAUACCGCAUACGACCGAGAGGUGAAAGCGGGGGACCGCAAGGCCUCGCGCGAUUGGAUGAGCCGACGUCGGAUUAGCUAGUUGGCGGGUAAAGGCCCACCAAGGCGACGAUCGGUAGCUGGUCUGAGAGGAUGAUCAGCCACACUGGGACUGAGACACGGCCCAGACUCCUACGGGAGGCAGCAGUGGGGAAUAUUGGACAAUGGGCGAAAGCCUGAUCCAGCCAUGCCGCGUGAGUGAUGAAGGCCCUAGGGUUGUAAAGCUCUUUCGCCAGGGACGAUAAUGACGGUACCUGGAUAAGAAGCCCCGGCUAACUUCGUGCCAGCAGCCGCGGU
rnacentral:rRNA from 1 species